rnacentral:rRNA from 1 species
AACGAACGCUGGCGGCGUGGUUAAGACAUGCAAGUCGAACGGUGCGUUGUAGCAAUAUGACGUACAGUGGCGGACGGGUGAGUAAUGCAUGGGUUAUGUACCUUGAACUCAGGGAUAGCGUCGGGAGCUUGCUCCCUUUGCGAAAGUGACGGUAAUACCUGAUAACGCCCGCGGGGGAUGCCCCUGUGGGCCAAAGGCGGGGACCUUCGGGCCUGUCGGUUCGGGAUCAGCCCAUGCCUAUCAGCUAGGUUGGUAGGGUAACGGCCUACCAAGGCAGCGACGGGUAGCCGGUCUGAGAGGAUGAUCGGCCACAUCGGAACUGAGACACUGUCCGGACACCUACGGGUGGCUGCAGUAACGAAUCUUCCGCAAUGGGCGAAAGCCUGACGGAGCGACGCCGCGUG